rnacentral:rRNA from 1 species
GAUGAACGCUGGCGGCGUGCCUAAUACAUGCAAGUCGAGCGAACAGACGAGGAGCUUGCUCCUCUGACGUUAGCGGCGGACGGGUGAGUAACACGUGGAUAACCUACCUAUAAGACUGGGAUAACUUCGGGAAACCGGAGCUAAUACCGGAUAAUAUAUUGAACCGCAUGGUUCAAUAGUGAAAGACGGUUUUGCUGUAACUUAUAGAUGGAUCCGCGCCGCAUUAGCUAGUUGGUAAGGUAACGGCUUACCAAGGCGACGAUGCGUAGCCGACCUGAGAGGGGGAUCGGCCACACGGGAACUGAGACACGGUCCAGACUCCUACGGGAGGCAGCAGUAGGGAAUCUUCCGCAAUGGGCGAAAGCCUGACGGAGCAACGCCGCGUGAGUGAUGAAGGUCUUCGGAUCGUAAAACUCUGUUAUUAGGGAAGAACAAAUGUGUAAGUAACUAUGCACGUCUUGACGGUACCUAAUCAGAAAGCCACGGCUAACUACGUG